rnacentral:rRNA from 1 species
CCUACGGGUGGCAGCAGUAGGGAAUAUUGCUCAAUGGGGGAAACCCGGAAGCAGCAACGCCGCGUGGAGGAUGAAGGUGUUAGGAUGGUAAAAUCCGUUUGUUAGAGAAGAAAAUGACGGUACCUAACGAAUAAGCACCGGCUAACUCCGUGCCAGCAGCCGCGGCAAGACGGAGGGAGCAAGCGUUACUCGGAAUCACUGGGCGUAAAGCGCGCGUAGGCGGGAGAGCAAGUCAGAUGUGAAAUCCUAUGGCUUAACCCUAGAACUGCAUUUGAAACUGUUAUUCUAGAGUAUGGGAGAGGUAGGUGGAAUUCUUGGUGUAGGGGUGAAAUCCGUAGAGAUCAAGAGGAAUACUCAUUGCGAAGGCGACCUGCUAGAACAUAACUGACGCUGAUGCGCGAAAGCGUGGGGAGCAAACAGGAUUAGAUACCCUAGUAGUC